AUGGCCAGCUCUGUUAGCGACGCAACAGAUGGUCACUCCCUGUUGUUGUGUGACCACUCCAACGAAACCCCUGUCCCCGUCCCCUUCUCCUCCCACCCCGGCGGCCGCACCCCCGCCCGCCAUGGCCCCGCCGGCGCCACACCUCGCGACGAGCUCCUGGAGGAGAUCUUCCUUCGCCUGCCCACCCCGGCCGCGCUCGCACGCGCCUCAACCGCCUCCCCCCGCUUCCGCCGCAUCAUCACCGACCGCUCCUUCCUCCGCCGCUUCCGCAAACUCCACCCGCCGCCGCUCCUCGGGUUCGCCGACGAACGUGCAGGCUUCCACCCCGCCGAGGCUCCCCAUCCCUCCGCUCCGCUCGCCCGCGCCCUCGCCGACGCCGCUGAUUUCACCUACUCCUUCGUCCCCAAGCCCAGUAAUGACCACUCCUGGCGUCCCUGCAACGUCCGCGACGGCCGCGUCCUCCUCGAGAGCAGCCGAUACGGGACCUUCAGAGAGCUCGCGGUGUGCGAUCCGUUGUCACGGCGCUACGUUCUGCUUCCGCCCAUACCCGAGCACAUGUCAGUCCAGGAACAGCGCCCUUUGGGAAUUCAGGUCCAUCCUGGCUCCCAUUGCCGAGGAGGACGAGGACGAGACGUCGUUCAAGGUGAUAUGCUUUGCGGACUACGAAACCAAGCUGGAUGUGUUUGUCUUCUCUUCCAUCACACGCCAAUGGUGCAUUGCUGCAUCUCCCAGCUGGAGUUCUUUGGGCGCGGAACGCCCAUCGGGGCUGUGUGGUUGUCGAAGACUGACUGGGAUGUAGAUUAUUUUUCGCUGGAUGUCAAGACUUCUGAACUUGCAAAGGUUUGUAGGAGGAGGAGGGAAUUCUUCCAUUAUGAAGAUGUUUACUGGUACUUUGGCUUCCCUCCAUCUUUGUGA
rnacentral:rRNA from 1 species